rnacentral:piRNA from 1 species
UCACAGAGAACAAGAGAUUAAAGUGC